GAUGAACGCUGGCGGCGUGCCUAAUACAUGCAAGUCGAGCGAACAGACGAGGAGCUUGCUCCUCUGACGUUAGCGGCGGACGGGUGAGUAACACGUGGAUAACCUACCUAUAAGACUGGGAUAACUUCGGGAAACCGGAGCUAAUACCGGAUAACAUGUUGAACCGCAUGGUUCAACAGUGAAAGACGGUCUUGCUGUCACUUAUAGAUGGAUCCGCGCCGCAUUAGCUAGUUGGUAAGGUAACGGCUUACCAAGGCAACGAUGCGUAGCCGACCUGAGGGUGAUCGGCCACACUGGAACUGAGACACGGUCCAGACUCCUACGGGAGGCAGCAGUAGGGAAUCUUCCGCAAUGGGCGAAAGCCUGACGGAGCAACGCCGCGUGAGUGAAGAAGGUCUUCGGAUCGUAAAACUCUGUUAUUAGGGAAGAACAAAUGUGUAAGUAACUAUGCACGUCUUGACGGUACCUAAUCAGAAAGCCACGGCUAACUACGUG
rnacentral:rRNA from 1 species